CACUCCUGCGGGAGGCAGCAGUGGGGAAUAUUGCACAAUGGGCGCAAGCCUGAUGCAGCCAUGCCGCGUGUAUGAAGAAGGCCUUCGGGUUGUAAAGUACUUUCAGCGGGGAGGAAGGCGAUAAGGUUAAUAACCUUGUCGAUUGACGUUACCCGCAGAAGAAGCACCGGCUAACUCCGUGCCAGCAGCCGCGGUAAUACGGAGGGUGCAAGCGUUAAUCGGAAUUACUGGGCGUAAAGCGCACGCAGGCGGUCUGUCAAGUCGGAUGUGAAAUCCCCGGGCUCAACCUGGGAACUGCAUUCGAAACUGGCAGGCUAGAGUCUUGUAGAGGGGGGUAGAAUUCCAGGUGUAGCGGUGAAAUGCGUAGAGAUCUGGAGGAAUACCGGUGGCGAAGGCGGCCCCCUGGACAAAGACUGACGCUCAGGUGCGAAAGCGUGGGGAGCAAACAGGAUUAGAAACCCGGGUAGUCC
rnacentral:rRNA from 1 species